rnacentral:rRNA from 1 species
AAUCGCUAGUAAUCGCGGAUCAGCAUGCCGCGGUGAAUACGUUCCCGGGCCUUGUACACACCGCCCGUCACACCAUGAGAGUCGGGAACACCCGAAGUCCGUAGCCUAACCGCAAGGGGGGCGCGGCCGAAGGCGGGUUCAUGAUUGGGGUGAAGUCGUAACAAGGUACC